AUUUGGCUGGGCCUUUGUCUCUCGCUCCCACCAGAGCUUGGAAUCCGUCUCUGCUCUUCUGCAUUCUCCACCUCGGGAGCCCCUGGGGACUCUGUGACGGCCUCUGUUGCCCUGUGAUCUGCAGGUCCGGAGAGACGCACAGCUAAGAUGUCAGGACAUCCUGGAAGCUGGGAAAGGGUCUUGCCAUCUCUAAGCUGGACCUGGUGACCUUUUUGGAGGGAAAGAAAGAGCCCUGGACUGUGAAGAGUGAGGAGACCAUAGCUGCACAGCCAGUCCAGAUGUAUAAUCUCAUCCCUGAACAUUUCUGAUGGUGUGAUUAUGACAUGUGACUUUAUCUGGCAACAGAGUGAGUUGUUGCUCCCGCCUGAGCCCAGCCCCCAGAAAGGAUUGUGACAUAUCGUUGGACCCAGAAUUGAGGUGGAAUUGUGACAUAUAACUUGGCCAAGCACACAGAUGUAAUGGUGUGGUGACUCUCAUACCUAGAACUGGGACCUGUGCAGGAUUGUUAAUUCAUUACUGGACAUUCCUGUGGGUGUGAUUGUUACAUAUGCCUAUGUUCAGCACCCGAGUGAUUUGAUUUUGCUGCCUGGUCUCAGUCCAAAUGUAAGAUUGUGAUUUAUCGCUGAAUCCAGCACCUCGGUGAUUUGACUCUCCCUUUUUUUGUGGGAGGGAUCCUGCAAAUUUUGGGUAUUGUCAAUUAUUGCUGAAUCCUGUACCCAUGUUAUGACUCUCCCAAAUGUGCCUUACCUGUUGUGGCACAAUAUAUCACAUUAGACAUUGUUAAAUAUUGUUGGGUUCAACACCUGGGUGAUGGAUGUAACUUUUUUUCUGGGCCUGCCUACAGGGGACCUUGUGACAUAACUCAAUGCCCAUCAUCAUGGUAAUGUUACUCUCUUCUCCUGCCUGAUCUCUGCUCACAGAGAAAUUGUGACACAUCACUGGCCUAGCAUCUAGGUGAUGUGACUCUCCUCUUUUUUUCAGGCUCUGCAUAUUUGGGUAUUGUGACAUAUUGCUGAACUCAACACCUAAGGGAUGGGAGUCUCCUACCUAGGCCCUUCCUACAGGGGACAUUGUGACAUGUCUCUGCAUUCCUCAUCCAGGAGAUGUGACUCUCCUUUUCUGCCUACACCCUGCCUACACAGAAAGUUGUGGCAUAUUGCUGUGGUCAGCAACCAGAUGAUAUAUUUCUCCUGCCUGGGUCUUUAUUACAGGAAAGAUGAUUGACAUAUUACUGGGCCCAGCAUCCAGAUGAUGUGACUCUCUUCUUCUGUUGGUCCUUGCUUACAGGGAAACUGUAGCAUAUUGCUACACCCAACACCUAGCUUAUGUGAUUCUUCUUUUAGGUUUGCCUUCAGGGAACAUUGUGACAUAUUGCUGGGCCCUGCACUGAUAAUUUGUGACUCUUCUGCCUGUGAUUUGCCCACUUGGGGCAUUGUGACAUAUUGCUGGGUUUAACACUCAGGUGAUGUAACUUUUAUGCCUAGGCCUUGCUUACAGGAGGCAUUUUGAAAUGUCUUUGUGGCUGGGCAUGGUGGCUCAUGUCUGUAAUCCCAGCGCUUGGGGAGGCCAAGGUGGGCAGAUCACAAAGUCAGGAGUUCGAGACCAGCCUGGUCAACAUGGUGAAAACCUGUCUCUACUAAAACAAAACAAAACAAAACAAAACAAAACAAAACAAAACAAAACAAAACAAAUAAAACCA
rnacentral:lncRNA from 1 species